GUGAGGAAUUUUCCGCAAUGGGCGAAAGCCUGACGGAGCAAUGCCGCGUGAAGGAUGAAGGCCUAUGGGUUGUAAACUUCUUUUCUCAGAAAAGAAUUAUGACGGUAUCUGAGGAAUAAGCAUCGGCUAACUCUGUGCCAGCAGCCGCGGUAAGACAGAGGAUGCAAGCGUUAUCCGGAAUGAUUGGGCGUAAAGCGUCUGUAGGUUGUUUAAAAAGUAUUCUGUCAAAGAUUAGGGCUUAACCCUAGAUAGGCGGAAUAAACUUUUAAGCUAGAGUGUGGUAGAGGCAGAGGGAAUUCCCGGUGGAGCGGUGAAAUGCGUAGAUAUCGGGAGGAACACCAAAGGCGAAGGCACUCUGCUGGGCCAAUACUAACACUGAGAGACGAAAGCGAGGGGAGCAAAUGGGAUUAGAAACCCUGGUAGUCC
rnacentral:rRNA from 1 species